AAGUAUUGUAUUAACCCAUUUAUCAAUAAGAUACUUGAACCAUGUGUCUCUCACUUCAUCAAUCUCUUAUUGAUUGUAGCUCAAUGAAACAACUCU